CAGGACAGAGCUGGAGGCCUGAAUGCGGCAUCCUGCAGAGGGGAAAGGUACGAAUUCAGGGACUCUCUCCCAUCUGAAGGAACGCAGAAAGCUGAGCUCACACACCUAAGGUAGGUCCUGGAGGACAUGGGAUAGACAAGCAGAAUCAAGGCCUGGAGGCACAGAGAAGCCCAGUGUGAAACCAAGAAUGCCCAAGUCACCCAAGAAAGGUGCUCCAUUCCCACCCCAAUAGGUCUUCUUGAUGAAAGCAAAGAACCCUCACCCCAGAUAAAAGUCUAUGCAUAUUUGAACACAAUCUUCAGGAUUCACACCCGAGGCCCCAGCUUCAGUGGGAUAAAGUAACUGAGGCCCAGAGACACAGAGAGACUUGCAGGGAACGAUAGUGAAGAUGUACUGAAGCCAGGAUUUCUUCAGCAUCUCUGACUCCAAAGGGCUUCAAGGCCUGGGCUUUUACCAGGUUUUGCUCCCUAGAAGUUAAGCUUCCGUCUCAGGCUUUUGAACCCUUAGUUGGAGCUACAUUAGACAAUGAAACAUGUUUCUGGAGGAGGUGGCGAGUGGGUGGCCCACGGGCUGGGGCAGACAGAGGCCAGCUGAUGAGUAAAGAGGGCAAAUUAGAACACGAGGCCCAGAGAGAACAUUCUGUUGAGCUCCGACACCACACCUGGCACAGGAGGCCGAGGGCAGGCCGCAGGGGUGGGGCAGUGUGGGAAGGGAGAGGCGCACAGGGAAACUCUGAGAAUGGAAACUCUGAGAAUGGAACAGCAUGCCCUCUCUGGGAGAGCUCCCCCAGGUGGGGUGGGCACAGUUAGACACCCUGGAGUGAGUUGGAAAAGGCAGGUGGAGGGAGCUUGCAAAUACCAGCCACUAGUCACAUAGCAACUGGGUGUGUAUGAAGUGCUCACUACAUGCCCAGCACUGUACUAAACAAUGUAAGUGCUCUGUCUUGCUCAGUCCUCCAAGUCUCUGAAGUAAGGACAAAUGAUCACAGCCUCCCUUUACAGAUAUAGAAAAUAAGCUACUUGUCCAAAGAAAGUGGUAAUGUAGAGUAGGUAUGCAAUAAAUAUUUGUCAAACAAAUAGAUGGAUAGUGAGGUGAAUGGAUGGGCAGAUGGUAGAUGGGUAAAUGGGGGGAGGGGUGGAGGAUGGAUGGAUGAAUAAACCUGGUAAACAUGCCUGAUCCCCAGAUUUAUCUCUUAACUUCUCCCUAAUCCUGGGAGGCAGUAAGGAAGAGCAGAUUGCUAGAGCCUUUCAGGGGCUCCAAAGGAGAGGCACCCUGGCUGUUUUCCCCUAUUUCACUCUGAAUAAAAUCCAGAGUCGUUGCCACGAGGUUCUGUGGGAUCCGAUUUCAGCCUCAUCUCCUACCACCCUCCCCUCCACUCAUCCGCUCCAGCCGCAGUGGGCUCCUUGCUGUUCUCUCAACACGCCAAGCUCUCCCCAUCUCAGCGCCUUUGACUGACUGUUCCCUCUGCCCAAGAUACCUUCCGUCAGCUGUCCACCCCGCUCUGCUCGGACGUCACAUCCUCAGAGAGGCCUGCUAUUCCAGAUCUAAACUAUCAUCUGGUCGCUCCCUGUUCCCUUACCCAUUUUAAUUUUUCUCCUAAACAGGAGAGUUCUCCUAACCAACUCGCAUCUUACCUGUUUGUGUCUGCCUCCCUCACCCCCAGUCAGGAAUAUGAACUCAGUGAAAAUAAAGGCUUUGUUUUGUUUACAGCUGUACACGAAGCACCGAAAACGAUAACUUGUACCGUCGACGUCAAUAAAUAUUUGCUGAGUUCG
ensembl:lncRNA